UGGCUCAGUUGGUAGAGCAUGGUGUUUGCAAUGCCAGGGUUGUGGGUUCGGUUCCCAU
rnacentral:tRNA from 1 species